rnacentral:rRNA from 1 species
UUUUAUGGAGAGUUUGAUCCUGGCUCAGGAUGAACGCUGGCGGCGUGCCUAAUACAUGCAAGUCGAGCGAACAGACGAGGAGCUUGCUCCUCUGACGUUAGCGGCGGACGGGUGAGUAACACGUGGAUAACCUACCUAUAAGACUGGGAUAACUUCGGGAAACCGGAGCUAAUACCGGAUAAUAUAUUGAACCGCAUGGUUCAA